rnacentral:rRNA from 1 species
AGGGGCGAAAGACUAAUCGAACCAUCUAGUAGCUGGUUCCCUCCGAAGUUUCCCCCAGGAUAGCUGGAGCUCGGUCAGUUUUAUCGGGUAAAGCGAAUGAUUAGAGGUACCGGGGAUGAAACAUCCUCGACCUAUUCUCAAACUUUAAAUAGGUAAGACGUCUGGGUUGCUUAAUUGAACCCAGGCACUCAAUGAGAGCUCCAAGUGGGCCAUUUUUGGUAAGCAGAACUGGCGAUGCGGGAUGAUCCGAAAGCCGAGUUAAGGUGCCAAACUGCGCGCUAACCUAGAUCCCACAAAGGGUGUUGGUUGAUAUAGACAGCAGGACGGUGGUCAUGGAAGUCGAAAUCCGCUAAGGAGUGUGUAACAAGUCACCUGCCGAAUGCACUAGC